rnacentral:rRNA from 1 species
UUGAUCCUGGCUCAGAAUCAACGCUGGCGGCGUGCCUAACACAUGCAAGUCGAACGCGAAAGGGGCGCAAGCCCUGAGUAGAGUGGCAAACGGGUGAGUUACACGCGGGUGACCUGCCUUCGAGUGGGGGAUAACGUUCCGAAAGGAACUCUAAUACCGCAUGACAUCCUGCGUUUGGAGACGCGGACAUCAAAGCUGGUGAUCGCAAGACCUAGCGCUCGGAGAGGGGCCCGCGGCUGAUUAGCUAGUUGGUGGGGUAAUGGCUCACCAAGGCAACGAUCAGUAUCCGGCCUGAGAGGUCGGACGGACACACUGGGACUGAGACACGGCCCAGACUCCUACGGGAGGCUGCAGUGGGGAAUUGUUCGCAAUGGGCGCAAGCCUGACGACGCAACGCCGUGUGGAGGACGAAGAUCUUCGGGUCGUAAACUCCUGUCGAGCGGGAAGAAUGGGUGCGGGGUGAAUACCCUCGCACCGUGACGGUACCGCUAAAGGAAGCUCCGGCUAACUCCGUGCCAGCAGCCGCGGUAAUAAGGU